UACGGGGGGGCAAGCGUUGUUCGGAAUUACUGGGCGUAAAGGGCUUGUAGGCGGCCAACUAAGUCCGACGUGAAAUCCCCAGGCUUAACCUGGGAACUGCGUCCGAUACUGGAAGGCUUGAAUCCGGGAGAGGGAUGCGGAAUUCCAGGUGUAGCGGUGAAAUGCGUAGAUAUCUGGAGGAACACCGGUGGCGAAGGCGGGUCUCUGGGCCGAUAC
rnacentral:rRNA from 1 species